rnacentral:rRNA from 1 species
AACGAACGCUGGCGGCAUGCCUAACACAUGCAAGUCGAACGAGACCUUCGGGUCUAGUGGCGCACGGGUGCGUAACGCGUGGGAACCCGCCCUUAGGUUCGGAAUAACUCCCCGAAAGGGGUGCUAAUACCGGAUAAUGUCUUCGGACCAAAGAUUUAUCGCCUUUGGAUGGGCCCGCGUUGGAUUAGCUAGUUGGUAGGGUAAAAGCCUACCAAGGCGACGAUCCAUAGCUGGUCUGAGAGGAUGAUCAGCCACACUGGGACUGGGACACGGCCCAGACUCCUACGGGAGGCAGCAGUGGGGAAUAUUGGACAAUGGGCGAAAGCCUGAUCCAGCAAUGCCGCGUGAGUGAUGAAGGCCUUAGGGUUGUAAAGCUCUUUUACCCGGGAUGAUAAUGACAGUACCGGGAGAAUAAGCUCCGGCUAACUCCGUG